AGGACGCACCUCUGGUGUACCAGUUAUCGUGCCUACGGUAAACGCUGGGUAGCCAAGUGCGGAGAGGAUAACUGCUGAAAGCAUAUAAGUAGUAAGCCCACCCCAAGAUGAGUGCUCUCUCCUCCGACUUCCCUAGAGCCUCCGGUAUCAUAGCCGAGACAGCGACGGGUUCUCCACCCAUACGGGGAUGGAGCGACAGAAGUAUGGAAAUAGGAUAAGGUAGCGGCGAGACGAGCCGUUUAAAUAGG
rnacentral:ncRNA from 1 species